AAAGAGUCCGUGAAGGACUUUUGUCAAGAGAUGAAGCGUCAACAAGUAAGAGAUACGGUUGCAACUUCGGUAAGAAGAAAGAUAGAGAGACCAAUACAGUAAUUAGUGGGAGGCAGAGGAGGCCUCAAAUCAGAAAAAAUCAACCACCCUGUCAACAUCAUCAUCAUCAAGUGUCAUCAGUAAUUCCGGUAUUUUCUAGUUAACAAGCAACACCAAUUCAACAACAACAACAUCAACGUCAAUAACAACAAUCGCAUCAAAGAACGAACACCUACA
rnacentral:lncRNA from 1 species